rnacentral:rRNA from 1 species
UACAGAGGUCUCAAGCGUUGUUCGGAAUCACUGGGCGUAAAGGGCGUGUAGGCGGUCAAGUAAGUGGAAUGUGAAAGCCCCCGGCUUACCCGGGGAUCUGCAUCCCAAACUGCUUGGCUUGAGUACGGGAGAGGAUAGGGGAAUUCCUGGUGUAGCGGUGAAAUGCGUAGAUAUCAGGAGGAACACCGGUGGCGAAGGCGCCUAUCUGGCCCGAUACUGACGCUGAGGCGCGAAAGCGUGGGGAGCAAACAGG